AUUUUGCUUCUUCUUAUCUCUCUCACAAACUCUCUCUCUCUCUCUCUCAGCAAACUAUCUCUCAAAACUCUUGGCCAAAAUUUUGCUUUCCCCCCAGAGUUUUGCUGUUGAAUCUCUCCGCAAUCAAACUACCCUUGCUUUCCUAUCGAACAUCUCCCUGUUCAACUUUAUGGAUUUGUAAGGGUUUUUUGGCUGCCAAUCUUUUGCACUUCUCCAGAAAAGAAGAGGAGGCAGAAUUACUGUGAGCGAUUGUCCAAGAUGAAGACGAUUCUGUCAUCGGAGACUAUGGAAAUUCCCGGCGGUGUUAAGAUUAAGGUGAAAGCCAAGCAGAUCUAGGUGGAAGGACCCGCGGGAAGCUUACUCGCAACUUCAAGCAUCUCAACCUCGACUUCCAGCUCAUCACCGAUGAGGCCACCGGGAAGAGUAAGCUCAAGGUCGACGCUUGGUUCGGCUCUUGGAAGACUACCGUUUCCAUUCGCACUGCCCUCAGUCACGUUGAGACCUCAUCACUGGCGUUACCAAGGGUUACCGGUACAAGAUGAGAUUCGUCUACGCUCACUUCCCAGUCAACUCCUCCAUCACCAACUCCAAUCGUUCUAUUGAGAUCCGAAACUUUCUUGGCGAGAAGAAGGCUCCUGGACUCUGCACAGUGAAAGCUUGCAGUUCAUUUUGCAUUGUGGAUAUUGUCCUUGCAUUUUGUGAUGAUGGUAAUCUCAUGCAAUGUGCAUGGUGUCAUAAAUUCCAUUCUAGAGUGUACUACUACUUCUGGUCCUGUUUGAGCACUGAGGGUGUUUAAUUUCUUGACAAAAAAAUUGAAGACUCGUGUGGUGAGGAAAAAUGUAAAUCCUGAGCGGAAUGAAGACCUUACACUGUCAAUUGCAGAUCCAAGCAUCCCAAUCAAGCUAGUGGUGCCAACUAAAGAUUGAUGGUGUCUUUGUGGUUAUGACUGAAGGCUCUCAUUUGGUUGGAAAGUUUGGAAGCUACUACAAGUUCUUUCAAAUUUUUACAUUAGAAGAGUCUUUUAUUUUAAUUUUAGCUAGUGGCAUUGUUUAACAUUGCUAUUCUACUUUAAACAACUUUUUCGAUUAGCUAUGUUAGUACUUGUUGCUGACUUUUAG